rnacentral:rRNA from 1 species
AAAGAAAAUAACAAUGAUUCCCUUAGUAACGGCGAGUGAAGAGGGAUAAGCUCAAAUUUAAAAUCUGUUAGGUUUUACCUAAUCGAGUUGUAAUUUGAAGAAGCGUUUUCCGCGUCUUUGUCGGCCCAAAUCCUUUGGGAUAAGGUAUCAUGGAGGGUGAGAAUCCCGUACGGCUGAUAUCAUGACGUUUUACGAUACGCUUUCAAAGAGUCGAGUUGUUUGGGAUUGCAGCUCUAAAUGGGAGGUAAAUUUCUCCUAAGGCUAAAUAUUGGCGAGAGACCGAUAGCGAACAAGUACCGUGAGGGAAAGAUGAAAAGAACUUUGAAAAGAGAGUUAAAAAGUACGUGAAAUUGUUGAAAGGGAAACGAUUGAAGUCAGUCGUACCGACGAGAAAUCAACUCAACGAAUGGGUAAUUGCGGGCGUAUGAGAGCUUCACGGUCUCAUUGUUUGUAAAUGCAUGUUCUUUGGGUGUACUUUUUCGUAUGGUAGGUCAACGUCGGUUUCGAUUGUUAUAAAAUGAUCGAAGGAAUGUAGCUUCGAUUUCGAUUGAAGUGUUAUAGCCUUUGGUAGAUGUAUUGAUCGAGACCGAGGAUUGCAACGAAUACCCUUUCGGGCUAUCCGUCUGACCUCUGAAAGUUGCUUAGGUGCCGAAAGCUUGCUUACGGUCAUUUAAGCCAGCGGUCAAAAGGUUAGAACGUGAUUAAAUUCGUUAAGGACGUUG